AGUGAACGCUGGCGGUAGGCCUAACACAUGCAAGUCGAACGGCAGCACAGUAAGAGCUUGCUCUUACGGGUGGCGAGUGGCGGACGGGUGAGGAAUACAUCGGCAUCUACUUUUUCGUGGGGGAUAACGUAGGGAAACUUACGCUAAUACCGCAUACGACCUACGGGUGAAAGCAUGGGAUCUUCGGACCUUGCGCGAUUGAAUGAGCCGAUGUCGGAUUAGCUAGUUGGCGGGGUAAAGGCCCACCAGGGCGACGAUCCGUAUCUGGUCUGAGAGGAUGAUCAGCAACACGGGAACUGGGACAGGCUCGAAGCUCUUACGGGAGGCCGCGGUGGGGAAUAUUGGACAAUGGGAGCAAGCCGACUCCAGCAAUACCGCGUGGGUGAAAGAGGCCUUCGGGUUGUAAAGCCCAUUUGUUGAGAAAAAAAAGCAGCAGGUUAAUACGCCGCUGUUCUGACGGUACCCAAAGAAUAAGCACCGGCUAACUUCGUG
rnacentral:rRNA from 1 species